rnacentral:rRNA from 1 species
AACCUGCCCCGAGCUCUGGGAUAACUUCGGGAAACCGGGGCUAAUACCGGAUAUNGACAUUGCCGGGCAUCUGGUGGUGUGGAAAGAUUUAUUGGCUUGGGAUGGGCCCGCGGCCUAUCAGCUUGUUGGUGGGGUAAUGGCCUACCAAGGCGACGACGGGUAGCCGGCCUGAGAGGGCGAUCGGCCACACUGGGACUGAGACACGGCCCAGACUCCUUCGGGAGGCAGCAGUGGGGAAUAUUGCGCAAUGGGCGAAGGCCUGACGCAGCGACGCCGCGUGAGGGAUGACGGCCUUCGGGUUGUAAACCUCUUUCAGCAGGGACGAAGCGCAAGUGACGGUACCUGCAGAAGAAGCACCGGCCAACUACGUGCCAGCAGCCGCGGUAAUACGUAGGGUGCAAGCGUUGUCCGGAAUUAUUGGGCGUAAAGAGCUCGUAGGCGGCCUGUCGCGUCGGCUGUGAAAUAUCGGGGCUCAACCCCGGGCCUGCAGUCGAUACGGGCAGGCUAGAGUCCGGUAGGGGAGACUGGAAUUCCUGGUGUAGCGGUGAAAUGCGCNAGAUAUCAGGAGGAACACCGGUGGCGAAGGCGGGUCUCUGGGCCGGAACUGACGCUAAGGAGCGAAAGCGUGGGGAGCGAACAGGAUUAGAUACCCUGGUAGUCCACGCCGUAAACGUUGGGCGCUAGGUGUGGGGGACCUUCCACGGCCUCCGUGCCGCAGCUAACGCAUUAAGCGCCCCGCCUGGGGAGUACGGCCGCAAGGCUAAAACUCAAAGGAAUUGACGGGGGCCCGCACAAGCGGCGGAGCAUGUGGCUUAAUUCGAUGCAACGCGAAGAACCUUACCAGGGCUUGACAUGCAGGGAAAUCCAUCAGAGAUGGUGGGUCCUUNAGGGGUCCCGUACAGGUGGUGCAUGGCUGUCGUCAGCUCGUGU